CAUCAGGAACCCAGACAUGUGGACUUCAUGCACUUGGAUACACAAAUUUCAGCAACUUGGACAUUGCUUAGACACAGCAGAUACAUACAGAAACUAGGCCAGACUAAUCGGACAAGAACUAGGACGGAAUCCUGACAAAACACGGAACAGAAUUUAGUAGAACAGGAUUCAGACUGUGACACAGAUCAGACUAUGGCAAAUGAACUAGGACAGAAUUCAGACUGUGAGAUAACCAGAACAAUCCAGAGACAUGAACUAUGAACUAGGACUAGGACUAUAACUAGGGCACAGACAGACUCCAAACAGAACACAGCAAGACAGACAUGAGAGACAAGAAAGUUGCUCAACCAGGGCAGGUCAUAGCACUGGACACUUCCACCAAACUA